AACGAACGCUGGCGGCGUGCCUAACACAUGCAAGUCGAACGAGAAAGGGGCUUCGGCUCCGAGUAAAGUGGCGCACGGGUGAGUAACACGUGGGUAACCUGCCUCUAAGAUUGGGAUAACUCGUCGAAAGAUGAGCUAAUACCGGAUAAGACCACAGUUCCCGCGGGAACAGGGGUCAAAGGUAGCCUCUGCUUGCAAGCUAUCACUUAGAGAUGGGCCUGCGCACCAUUAGCUAGUUGGUAGGGUAACGGCCUACCAAGGCAAAGAUGGUUAGCUGGUCUGAGAGGAUGAUCAGCCACACUGGAACUGAGACACGGUCCAGACUUCUACGGGAGGCAGCAGUGGGGAAUAUUGCGCAAUGGGCGAAAGCUUGACGCAGCAACGCCGCGUGAGUGAUGAAGGCCUUCGGGUCGUAAAGCUCUGUCGGGAGGAACGAAUGCUCCCAAGGUUAACAGCCUCGGGAGGUGACGGUACCUUCAAAGGAAGCACCGGCUAACUCUGUGCCAGCAGCCGCGGUAAUAC
rnacentral:rRNA from 1 species